CUUCCUGCUGAGGACCCAGCUGCCCUGCUCUACCUCAAGACGGGGGCAUCUGCAACCCACAGUUCGUGGUUUACCAGCUGAAAGUGAAGAUCCACACAUCGAACCCGGCACACACCCGCCGCGAGGACAACCUCUCCUUUCCUUGGGAGGGGGUCAGCAGUGUCUCUGUCAACUAAAUGUGAUACAGAAAACCCGGAUCCUGACUGAGAGCUGCUGCACAUCUUACAGUGCUUCCUGCUGAGGACCCGUGGCCCUGCUCUACCACAAGACGCUAUUUGAAACCAUCCCCAUGUUCAGCCGGGGCACCUGCAACCCACAGUUCGUGGUUUAUCAGCUGAAAUUGAAGAUCCACACCUCGAACCCGGCGCACAGCAGUAAACUUAUAUAGUUUUGCCACAAUCCAUGUACUCACAAUAGACAGUCUAAUUACAACUGAGCCAGAGCCAGCCUCUGAGCCAGGACUCCUUUCAGGAACUGAUCCACACGUCGAACCCAGCCCACCCGGUUCUCACGCUGACCAAGAACGACUUGGACAAGGCCAACAAAGACAAGGCCAAAAAAAACUUCUCCCCCUCCUUCAAGGUGAAGCUGUUUAUUUGCUGUGUAUUUAAUUUGAUCUUCUUGUAACUGGUUUUGUGUUCUGUGUUCUGUGUUUGUUGUUUAUUUUAUAAUGUUCUGCGUUCUGU